rnacentral:rRNA from 1 species
AAAUUGAAGAGUUUGAUCAUGGCUCAGAUUGAACGCUGGCGGCAGGCCUAACACAUGCAAGUCGAACGGUAACAGGAAGCAGCUUGCUGCUUUGCUGACGAGUGGCGGACGGGUGAGUAAUGUCUGGGAAACUGCCUGAUGGAGGGGAUAACUACUGGAAACGGUGGCUAAUACCGCAUAACGUCGCAAGACCAAAGAGGGGGACCUUCGGGCCUCUUGCCAUCAGAUGUGCCCAGAUGGGAUUAGCUUGUUGGUGAGGUAACGGCUCACCAAGGCGACGAUCCUAGCUGGUCUGAGAGGAUGACCAGCCACACUGGAACUGAGACACGGUCCAGACUCCUACGGGAGGCAGCAGUGGGGAAUAUUGCACAAUGGGCGCAAGCCUGAUGCAGCCAUGCCGCGUGUAUGAAGAAGGCCUUCGGGUUGUAAAGUACUUUCAGCGGGGAGGAAGGUGUUGCGGUUAAUAACCGCAGCAAUUGACGUUACCCGCAGAAGAAGCACCGGCUAACUCCGUGCCAGCAGCCGCGGUAAUACGGAGGGUGCAAGCGUUAAUCGGAAUUACUGGGCGUAAAGCGCACGCAGGCGGUCUGUCAAGUCGGAUGUGAAAUCCCCGGGCUCAACCUGGGAACUGCAUUCGAAACUGGCAGGCUUGAGUCUUGUAGAGGGGGGUAGAAUUCCAGGUGUAGCGGUGAAAUGCGUAGAGAUCUGGAGGAAUACCGGUGGCGAAGGCGGCCCCCUGGACAAAGACUGACGCUCAGGUGCGAAAGCGUGGGGAGCAAACAGGAUUAGAUACCCUGGUAGUCCACGCCGUAAACGAUGUCUACUUGGAGGUUGUGCCCUUGAGGCGUGGCUUCCGGAGCUAACGCGUUAAGUAGACCGCACGGGAGUACGGCCGCAAGGUUAAAACUCAAAUGAAUUGACGGGGGCCCGCACAAGCGGUGGAGCAUGUGGUUUAAUUCGAUGCAACGCGAAGAACCUUACCUGGUCUUGACAUCCACAGAACUUUCCAGAGAUGGAUUGGUGCCUUCGGGAACUGUGAGACAGGUGCUGCAUGGCUGUCGUCAGCUCGUGUUGUGAAAUGUUGGGUUAAGUCCCGCAACGAGCGCAACCCUUAUCCUUUGUUGCCAGCGGUUAGGCCGGGAACUCAAAGGAGACUGCCAGUGAUAAACUGGAGGAAGGUGGGGAUGACGUCAAGUCAUCAUGGCCCUUACGACCGGGCUACACACGUGCUACAAUGGCGCAUACAAAGAGAAGCGACCUCGCGAGAGCAAGCGGACCUCAUAAAGUGCGUCGUAGUCCGGAUUGGAGUCUGCAACUCGACUCCAUGAAGUCGGAAUCGCUAGUAAUCGUGGAUCAGAAUGCCACGGUGAAUACGUUCCCGGGCCUUGUACACACCGCCCGUCACACCAUGGGAGUGGGUUGCAAAAGAAGUAGGUAGCUUAACCUUCGGGAGGGCGCUUACCACUUUGUGAUUCAUGACUGGGGUGAAGUCGUAACAAGGUAACCGUAGGGGAACCUGCGGUUGGAUCACCUCCUUACCUUAAAGAAGC